rnacentral:rRNA from 1 species
UAUUUCCCCUAGUAGCGGCGAGCGAAGCGGGAAGAGCUCAAAUUUAUAAUCUGGCACCUUCGGUGUCCGAGUUGUAAUCUCUAGAAAUGUUUUCCGCGUUGGACCGCACACAAGUCUGUUGGAAUACAGCGGCAUAGUGGUGAGACCCCCGUAUAUGGUGCGGACGCCCAGCGCUUUGUGAUACAUUUUCGAAGAGUCGAGUUGUUUGGGAAUGCAGCUCAAAUUGGGUGGUAAAUUCCAUCUAAAGCUAAAUAUUGGCGAGAGACCGAUAGCGAACAAGUACCGUGAGGGAAAGAUGAAAAGCACUUUGGAAAGAGAGUUAACAGUACGUGAAAUUGUUGGAAGGGAAACGCUUGAAGUCAGACUUGCUUGCCGAGCAAUCGGUUUGCAGGCCAGCAUCAGUUUUCCGGGAUGGAUAAUGGUAGAGAGAAGGUAGCAGUUUCGGCUGUGUUAUAGCUCUCUGCUGGAUACAUCUUGGGGGACUGAGGAACGCAGUGUGCCUUUUGGCGGGGGUUUCGACCUCUUCACACUUAGGAUGCUGGUGGAAUGGCUUUAAACGACCCGUCUUGAAACACGGACCA